AAGUGAGGCAGCAGCAAGGAAUAUUGGCCAAUGGGCGAAAGCCUGACCCAGCGACACCGCGUGGGGGAAGAAGGUUCUCGGAUCGUAAACCCCUUUUCUCAGGGAAGAUAAUGACGGUACCUGAGGAAUAAGUCUCGGCCAACUACGUGCCAGCAGCCGCGGUAAUACGUAGGAGGCGAACGUUAUCCGGAUUUACUGGGCGUAAAGGGAGCGUAGGCGGUUGCUUAAGUCGGGUGUGAAAUCUCCUGACUCAAUCAGGAGGGGUCAUCCGAUACUGGGCAACUCGAGGGCGGCAGAAGGAAACGGAAUUCCGAGUGUAGCGGUGAAAUGCGUUGAUAUUCGGAAGAACACCAGUGGCGAAGGCGGUUUCCUAGGCUGUUCCUGACGCUGAGGCUCGAAAGCGUGGGGAGCGAAGCGGAUUAGAUACCCGCGUAGCCCACGCCGCAACAC
rnacentral:rRNA from 1 species